rnacentral:lncRNA from 1 species
UUUGGACUUCUCGAAAUUCGAAUUUCUGUUUUCUGCACAAUUUCCCACUCUGCUGUCAAUUUCUGCUGUCAAUGUGAUUGGGGCGGGUGAUUUGGGCAGAUCACUUGCUCGAUCUGCCCCAAUCGCUUUCUGUGAGUCAGUCCAGUUUUUAGCUUUCUGUCUCUGCGAGUGAUUUGGCCAGUCUCUGCGAGUGAUUUGGGCAGAUCACUUGCCCAUAUCACUUCUGCCUGUUGCCUCCAGGUUUCUGCUUCAGCUUGAUCUGGGCAGUGAUUUGCCCAGAUCGUUGCCCCAAUCACUGUCUGUGAGUUAAUCCCAGUUUUCUG